GCCGGGGGGGCGUGGCCAGGGCGGGCUGGCGGGCAGGCCGGGGGCGGGGCCGGGGCCAGGGUCCAGCUCCCGGCCAACGCGGCCAUCGCUGCCUGCGCGGUUCCUAACCUUCGCCCGCUCCCCGCCCUCCCGGGCCGAGCGGGGUAGGGUGGCAUUGGCAGCCUCGCCCCGAGGGGCACCGCGGCUUCAGGGACUGGGCCGCCAGCGCAGCGCAAUGUCGGGCGCCACGACAGCUCUCUGAGUCCGAGGCCGCGGCCGUGGCCCUGGGAGGCGGCGGGUCCGGGCAGGGUCCGCUCAUGGUGCCUCCACGACGCCAUCCCGGGGCAGGAAGGCCGGGUGCGCUGAGUUCUUCACCUCCGUUUAGACUCAGAUCUGCCAAGUUUUCUGGCAUUGCUUUUGAAGAUCUCAGAAAGGCCUUUAAACUAAGACUGCAAAUGGUGUGUGUAUUUAUCAUGAAUCGAAUGAAUUCCCAGAGCAGUGGUUUCACUCAGCGCAGGCGACUGGCCCUAGGGAUUGUUAUUCUUCUACUUGUUGAUGUGAUAUGGGUCGCAUCCUCAGAACUUACUUCGUAUGUUUUUACUCAGUACAACAAACCAUUCUUCAGUACCUUUGCAAAAACAUCUAUGUUUGUUCUGUAUCUUUUGGGCUUUAUUAUUUGGAAGCCAUGGAGACAACAGUGUACAAGGGGAUUUCGAGGAAAGCACGCUGCUUUUUUUGCAGAUGCUGAAGGUUACUUUGCUGCUUGUACAACAGAUACAACUAUGAAUAGUUCUUUGAGUGAACCUCUGUAUGUUCCUGUGAAAUUUCAUGACCUUCCCAGUGAAAAACCUGAGAACACAAAUAUUGAUACUGAAAAAGCUCCCAAAAAGUCUCGUGUAAGGUUUAGUAACAUCAUGGAGAUUCGACAGCUUCCGUCAAGCCACGCAUUGGAAGCUAAGUUGUCUCGCAUGUCAUAUCCUACUGUGAAAGAGCAAGAAUCCUUAUUCAAAACUGUGGGGAAACUUACUGCAACUCAAGUAGCAAAAAUUAGCUUUUUUUUUUGCUUUGUUUGGUUUUUGGCAAAUCUGUCAUAUCAAGAAGCACUUUCAGAUACACAAGUUGCUAUAGUUAAUAUUUUGUCCUCAACUUCUGGACUUUUUACCUUAAUCCUUGCUGCAGUGUUUCCAAGUAACAGUGGGGAUAGAUUUACUCUUUCUAAACUAUUAGCUGUAAUUUUAAGCAUUGGAGGUGUGGUGCUGGUAAACCUGUCAGGAUCUGAAAAGUCUGCUGGAAGAGAUACAAUAGGUUCCAUUUGGUCUCUUGUUGGAGCCAUGCUCUAUGCUGUCUAUAUUGUUAUGAUUAAGAGAAAAGUAGACAGAGAAGAUAAGUUGGAUAUUCCAAUGUUCUUUGGUUUUGUAGGUCUCUUUAAUCUGCUGCUCUUAUGGCCAGGUUUCUUUUUACUUCAUUAUACCGGAUUUGAGGACUUUGAGUUUCCCAAUAAAGUAGUGUUAAUGUGCAUUAUCGUUAAUGGCCUUAUUGGAACAGUUCUCUCAGAGUUCCUAUGGUUGUGGUGCAGUUCUCUUGGUUAUUUUUUGCAGGCGCUAUCCAUGUAUUUUUUUCAUUUUUCAUUGUAACUCUCUUGUGCCAUUAUAAUAAUUGGGAUCCUGUGAUGGUGGGAAUCAGAAGAAUUUUUGUCUUUAUAUGCAGAAAACAUCGAAUUCAGAGGGUUCCAGAAGACAGUGAACAGUGUGAGAGUCUCAUUCCUAUGCACAGUGUUUCUCAGGAGGAUGGAGCUAGUUAGCUGUUGUCUUUAGUCCAGCUUGAUGAUGGAGCAAUGUACAGCGAAGAGACAAUCUCUGGCAAGUUUUUGUAGAAAAAUGUUUCAGUGCCUAGUCUGAAAAAUAACAGUUUCAGUUCUUUGGAACUCUAAAAUAUAUUUUCCUCAUAUCUGUUUUCUUCAUUUUCGUAAUGAAGUACUUUGCUAUGUAGCUGUGUACAUAUCACUACAGUUAUAGGAAGUUUCAGUCUACAGUCCAUCUAAAGGACCAACCUGCCUUACACAUCUCAAGGAAUUCAGCUGGUGAAAUAAUUUGAACUAAUCAAGGGAUAAAAUUUUAAUGUUCUGGAGACUUUAUUUUCACAUAUUACUUGUUAAAUGCUGGACUAUACUAUGAAAAGGUUUUCAAGAGAUUAUUUAAGUAUGUAAUAGAUCAGUGUUUCUUACAGGUAAAAUGCUAAAAUAAGCUGCCUACAAUAGGUACGGAUUAUAUUUUUGAGUUUUGUAGAAUAUUACAAAUUAACACAGAAAAUGUUUAAUUUAUGCAACACAUGUUCACACAAAUUUGGUGGGACAUUAGAAAGAAUCACUAUUUGAAAAAAGAUCUGGUUCACUUAUACUACAUAUUAUCCUUUCCUAGCAUUAGGUGCCUUGUACUUUAAAUCUGUGACAAAACAUGAAAAAUUUUUAAAGGGGAAGUAUUAUUGUAAAAAUGAAGAAUUAUGUAUUUCUAAAGGUUGUAUUGCUGUAAAUUUAAUUGAUAAAGCUCUGCUUAUUUAGAGUUUUGAAGAAAUAUUCUCUCUUCAAUUAAACAUUUUCAUAAUGGAAUGAUGUAAAUUGAAGUGAUAAAGAGUAUUAAAAUAAAAUGUUUAUAUAUAUA